GGGGAGAAAAGGUGUUACAGUAUUAUGAUAACCAAAGAAACAUUACAUGCUAGAGGACCCUGUAGCAGAUUGAUUUGUAUGAACCAAGGUUUCUGCAACGGCAAAGGAAAUAAAGGAUUCUGUCAGUGUCCAUCUGGAUAUUCUGGACCUACAUGUCAAGUUGAUCAUGGUAAUUCACUCACAGCUCCUCAAUCACAGGUAAAUGCAUAACUUUUAUGUCAUCAUCACUCAGUUUUUUUCUUUUCUAUGUAGC